GUAUCCUUGUGGGUUGGGGGAGGAAUGGGUAGGGAUUCUCUUCUGCUAUUCCCUUUUCCUACUGAUUGGAUUGCAAAUGCGAUGCCCUCUCCAAGGAUUCCACCGCUGACUCAUUCAGUCACAGACAUACUCUGAGAGGACUGGGAAGAGAUAGCUUUUUUUUUUUUUUUACAAAGUCAGACUUACUACUCCUUUACUCCCAUGGCACAUUCUGAGUCAAUUUCCUGGACCAAACAAAAAAGGGGGGAGGAGUAGUUGUUGAGGUUUAUAACUACAAACACUUCCUGGAAAAAGUGGCAGAAAGGCUGAGCCAGGAGAGGGAGGCUGGACUAGGAAAGGGGGCAGGAAGUUGCUUGUGAUGAUAUUCUAGGGGGACAAGUCCUCUGCGAGUACCAACCAUCCCAGCA
rnacentral:lncRNA from 1 species